ACGCACGCUGGCGGCGUGCUUAACACCUGCCAGUCGAACGAAGAGCGCUGGAAGCUUGCUUCUAUCAAUCUUAGUGGCGAACGGGUGAGUAACGCGUAAUCAACCUGCCCUUCAGAGGGGGACAACAGUUGGAAACGACUGCUAAUACCGCAUACGAUCCAAUCUCGGCAUCGGGACUGGAUGAAAGGUGGCCUCUAUUUAUAAGCUAUCACUGAAGGAGGGGAUUGCGUCUGAUUAGCUAGUUGGAGGGGUAACGGCCCACCAAGGCGAUGAUCAGUAGCCGGUCUGAGAGGAUGGACGGCCACAUUGGGACUGAGACACGGCCCAGACUCCUACGGGAGGCAGCAGUGGGGAAUCUUCCGCAAUGGACGAAAGUCUGACGGAGCAACGCCGCGUGAGUGAUGACGGCCUUCGGGUUGUAAAGCUCUGUUAAUCGGGACGAAUGGUUCUUGUGCGAAUAGGGCGAGGAUUUGACGGUACCGGAAUAGAAAGCCACGGCUAACUACGUG
rnacentral:rRNA from 1 species